rnacentral:tRNA from 1 species
UCAGUGGCUCAUUGGCAGAGCAUCUGCUUGGCACGCAAAAGGUACCCAGCUCAAUCCUGGGCAUCUUAG